rnacentral:rRNA from 1 species
CACGUAGGGCGCAAGCGUUGUCCGGAAUUAUUGGGCGUAAAGAGCUCGUAGGCGGUCUGUUGCGUCCGCUGUGAAAACUCGGGGCUUAACCCCGAGCCUGCAGUGGAUACGGGCAGACUAGAGGUAUGCAGGGGAGAACGGAAUUCCUGGUGUAGCGGUGAAAUGCGCAGAUAUCAGGAGGAACACCGGUGGCGAAGGCGGUUCUCUGGGCAUUGCCUGACGCUGAGGAGCGAAAGUGUGGGGAGCGAACAGG